rnacentral:snRNA from 1 species
ACACUUACUUAGGCGGGGCCGAUCGAUGAUCAGGAAGGUCGAUGACCUAGGAAGGCCACCUCCAUUGCACUUGGGAGGGGGGUCUACCUAGCAUGUGCAUGUCAUAAUUUGUGGCAGUGGCGGCUCGCGUUCACGCGGCCUCCAC